rnacentral:rRNA from 1 species
UACAGAGGGGGCAAGCGUUGUUCGGAAUUACUGGGCGUAAAGGGCGCGUAGGCGGCCUGCUAAGUCGAACGUGAAAUCCCCGGGCUCAACCCGGGAACUGCGUCCGAGACUGGCAGGCUCGAAUCCGGGAGAGGGAUGUGGAAUUCCAGGUGUAGCGGUGAAAUGCGUAGAUAUCUGGAGGAACAUCGGUGGCGAAGGCGGCAUCCUGGACCGGUAUUGACGCUGAGGCGCGAAAGCCAGGGGAGCAAACGGG